ensembl:lncRNA
UACAGCCGUGGUGGAUUCAUGUCAAUGCAUGGCAAAACCAAUACAGUAUUUAAAAAAAAAAGAAAUUAAAAUAUAAUUUAAAUUGAUUUUUAAUAAAUCAGUACAUGUAUAAAAAAUUUAAAAAAAAAAUCUGAUUCUCCAGACCAUCAUUUUUACUUGUUUGUUUCUACAUUUUGACCACAAUCUUUAGUAAGAAACACAUUUCACACACUAUAUACAUAUGUUACCAAAACCCUUACUUGGUGCAGUCUUCUUACCCUGCUGCAUCUGUUGUUUGAGUCUAUUCUAGUCUACUGUUUUGGGAAUGCUAGUUCUAGGCCACAAAAUUGGAUGUCUUGAACCACUAGUGGUCAUGAUCUGCAGUUAGAAACCACUGGCCUAAAUUGACCCAGAAUAGCAGCACCCACCCUGGUCUUAAACUCACAAGAUCAUAGCUCUCCAGGAAGCCCACAUCAUGUCGCUCCCGAGCCACACUCAGGAAUAGCCUAUGGUUCACACUCCAACCAUAACCAGAUAAGCUUCAGGAAUGUGGUGAGUAAACAGACAUUCUCACUGUGCCACUUCCCACAUAAAUAAAAAAAUGAACAAUUAUGCUUGCUAACUCUGUGCUAGGCAUGCUAGGUACUUUGCGUGAAUGGCCUUCCUUAAUCCCCUCAACAGCUCUCUGUGGCAGGCAUCAUCCCCACUUUGGAGCCGAAAACAGCUGAUGAAAACAAAUAGAAAGUAACAAGCUAGUGAGGAACAGAGUCAGACUUCCAGCCAGGGCUGUGUGACUCCACAGGCCACCAUGCUCAUCUUCCAGGCUGCACUGCAUCAGCCAUAAGAAAAAGUCUUUCCUUCUUUUCCUUACCCCUUUGCCUGUCCACAAUGCAGCAUCUCACUCCAGAUCUAGCCUUCUGUCACUUCCGCCAAGGACGCCACUGUUUGCCAAACUCUAGAUAUACAACAGGCAUUUUAUUUUCCACAAGGUUCUACAGUACCUGGUCAUUGUGCGUGCAGUGUGUGGAGUAUGGGUGUGUGUGGAUGUGUGUGUGUCUAUUGCUCUUCUGCUGUCAAAACCACACACAGGCUUUCUGCAAAGAGGCGACUGCAGGCCUCAGAGCUGGACAUCAAGCUCCACGGUUCUCUUUUUCUGGUGCCUCAUCUGACCCAGCUACUUGAGAAUGACGAGCUAGAGAAUUCCAGCUAUUUUUAGCUCUUCUGACGCUGACCUAGGCUAUUCACUGAGGAACCGGCAGGAGCUGGGAAGGGCUGUAUCAGCCUCAUCAAAACAACUUCUCAGGCAGCUGACUACCUGCAGCGCUGGGACACGGGGGGAAAAUAAAUCCUAUGUGCAGAGCUUUCCAAGUGGGGAAGGAAAGAGCAGGCAAUCCAGGAUGUCCACCAGCAGUCCAGACUGCCACUGAGCCAGCUCAGGCUGUGGGCAACAAGAGAGCAAAGACCAUAAAGGAGGAGGAGGUAGGGGUACCCUAACAAACCUACAACUAGCCAACCCCCAAGAUAAAAAAACCAUGGAAAGAGCCAGAGGUGGGCUCUCUACCCUGACCACCUCCUUGAGCUUUACUCAAAGGUUUUCCAGUGUACGUGGUACCAUGGGAAACUGGGAACGACCUGCCUGGACUAUGUGCCUGGAGAAGUAUCACGCGUUCACACCCCGGUAAAGGGGCCUCAGUCUGCUAGACACAGACGGACUCCUUUGGUUGGAACAUGUCCUUGUCAGACUGGAAUACUCAAAGCCAUCUACCUGCCCAGGUGACAAUUCAGCACACAUCCUGAUCCAAUAUCACUUUGAAAAACUUUCUAGAUCUACUGCUUUAAGAAUACACAGAGAGGACAGGUAUACAGAGAUAUGUGGAAUAUAUAUGUGAACGUGUAGAAUAUUCAGAAGGAGAGAGAUUAUACUUGACACUUUUACUCUAAGAGACCCACAUUAGGAGUGAUAAUAAGCACUUGAGAGAAAAACUACCUUUCAGUUCCUUAUGAAUGGACACAUUUGCUCAAAGAACUCUAGCCCAAAAGAGCAAAUCAGGCCUUUUUGAAUCAUUUGAACUGGUGUUUUCCUCUUGAUUUAGGUAGACUAAAAAGAACUAGUUUCUCAGCCUUUCUCUGUUUUUCAGAGUGCUGUGUGAAAGAGANNNNNNNNNNNNNNNNNNNNNNNNNNNNNNNNNNNNNNNNNNNNNNNNNNNNNNNNNNNNNNNNNNNNNNNNNNNNNNNNNNNNNNNNNNNNNNNNNNNCAGAGUGCUGUGUGAAAGAGAACAGCAUUCUGCAGUAUUUUUCUAAGUACUUCAUUUGUGAGUUUCUCUACCUUUCAUUUCUCCCUUUGAUUUACAUUGUUCUUCCAUAGCUUGUAUCACUGUCUUAUUCCAUUUUAGCUUGUUUUAAAUUUAGGUUACGGCUUUCAUCUUGUUUGUGAGCAUGUCCUUGUGUGCUUCCCUCAUCAGAAGGAAUGUUAUUCUUCUCUUUCUAUUUUUUCUUAUAAGAACUGUGUACGAACAUGAACCACAAUCUUUUCCUGUCGCUCUACUCAAGUAAAAUGAAUUUUCUUUUCAUUUUUGCAAAGGGUAGAUGCCAAUCAUUUUUUUCGCCUCCUAUCUCUAGAGUUCAUUCUGUUUCAUAACAACAAACAUGUGGCCUCGAUACUUUCUAAAACAUGAUCCAAUUUUCCCUCCCUCAUUUUUCCGCAUUCCCUCCUUCCUUUGUCCCUAUUUUCCUUUUCUGCUCCGUUUUGAUCCUACUUCCAUGCCUUUUUCCUCACGGUAGUACUAAGAAGGCUUAGCAGAAGAAAAAAAACAUGCAGCAGUGAUUCAUGUAACACAUAAAGCCUAAUAUAUUUACUUUAGAAAACAAUUUGCCAACCUCUUCUCUAGGGCAGCUUCUUCUCUGGAGGGUUCCUUCAUAUUCUCUAUAAUCGAGGUGAUGCUUCAUAUCCUCUAUAACGGAGGUGAUGCUGUCAAUCAUGGUACACCAUCACAGCAAUGAGAUGGGACCUGAGCAGGUGGCAAUAUAUGGAUUAUUCCCUAGAGGUACAUGCAGACAUUAGAAGAGAGAUCUUUCUAUCAGGGUGCUUAGCCAAGGAUGUGCUCUAUUAGGGCAUUUGCCUAUAGGCUCGUGACUCUCAGGCUGCCUGUGGACAUUGCUGUUAGCCACAUAGAGGAAGCCUGUGUCCAAUGAGAGAAAAGGAGGCUCGGAUUGUGAAGGAAGCUAGGGUGGCUAACAGACCCUCUAAAUCAAGCUGACACAGCUGCAUGUCUGGACUUUCCAGUUUCAUGAGCCAAUAAAUUCACUUUUCUGCUCGAGCUCAUUUGAGGUAGAUUCUGAUAUUGCAACCUAAAAAGUCACAGACUAACACAGUUGUAUACAUGAAGACACAUGUAUUAAUACAUGGCUAUUUAAAGGAUUUUUCUCAAAUUACUCCCUACUCCAUUUUUCCUGGGGUUUUUGUUUGUUGUUUUUAGCUAAGAAGAGGAUUAAAGACAAAAGUCAUAAGAGCUUACCAAUGGAUGAAAGAGAAAAAAUUACUUUGGCAGCAGUAGAAUUCCUUAGCUAAGAGUUUAUAAAUUAGCCUCAAUGCUUUAAAAGUAUGCUUACGGUUUAUAACUAAAAUGAAGGGAAGUAAUUGGGUUAGUGAGAACUAACAUCACAAGGGCCAGGGCUGACAGAGUUUAAAAAUGUAAAAGACUAUUUUGUGAAAUGGAGCUUAUCAGAAUCAUCAGUGGAGUUUUUAUUUUCUUUAAAAAAAAUUUUGAAAGGCUAUAGCAAAGACCUACUGUGGUAACACAGAUACACAGAAAAGAUUGAGAAUGACUGCUCUGAUAUAGUCACCCUAAUGUUUUAAGAAUUAUGUG